rnacentral:lncRNA from 1 species
AUGUCUUUCAUAUCCAACUAUAACAACGAGUAACCUCUUAAUUUUAAAAUGGCAGUUCCAAAAAAACGUACUUCUAUAUCAAAAAAGCGUAUUCGUAAAAAUAUUUGGAAAAGAAAGGGAUAUUGGGCAGCCUUAAAAGCGUUGUCAUUAGGGAAAUCUCUUUCUACUGGAAAUUCAAAAGGUUUUUUUUUGCGACAAACAAAUAAGUCAUAAAAUAAAACAUUGUAAUAAUAUGAAUCGAAAAAUUGGC